rnacentral:rRNA from 1 species
GACGAACGCUGGCGGCGUGCCUAAUACAUGCAAGUCGAGCGGACAGACGCUGCUCUUGCUGGUCUCUCGUUAGGCGCAGGGGGGUGUAACACACGAGUAUACCGUACCUGUCUUUGUGGGAUCUCUAGGAAACACCGGCGAAAACCCGGUAGGAGCUAUUGAUCCGCGUGGUUGGUUAGUGAGUGUCGGCGGUGGUGGAUCGACUCGCGGCUUAUGAGCCGGUUUGUGGAGUAGUUGCUGACCAAGGUUGUGACGGGUAGCCGGCCUGAGAGGGUGACCGGCCACAUUGGGACUGAGAUACGCACCAGACUCCUACGGGAGGCAGCAGUGGGGAGUAUGGCAGAGUGGGCGGAAGCCUGAUGCAGCGACGCCGCGUGCGGGAUGACGGCCUUCGGGUUGUAAACCGCUUUCGACUGUGACGAAGCGUGAGUGACGAUAAUGGGUAAAGAAGCAACGGCUAACUACGUG